UGGUUCCAGGGACCUGCUGAGUACCGCUUAUGUCUGAGGAUCUUGAAGAACAGAGACAAAAUUAAACCACACAUUUUAAAUCAAAGUUCUUUAUCCCAGGCAGCUCUGACCCCGUGGAAGGAGAAACAAACCCUGAAGGAGUAGCGGAAGACAUGCAGAUGAGUGUACACAACGUUUUAUUGCUCUCUGGACUCACAGAGACUCAAGACUAAGAAUGGAGGUUCUACAAAUAACCUGCGCUGAGUGGUUUGUCACUAACAUGGAGAACCUAUUGACUGACUAAACUGGCUCAGUCAGGUGGUGCCCCAACAUUGAAGCUCCAAUAAACAGGAUACAGGACACCAUGGGAAGAGGACGUGCUCACAGAGGAAAAUUUGG